AUUGUGGCUAACAGAUUAUGUUGCACCACACACCAUUUUCAUGCUUAUCUCAUGACUGUGGUGUAGGAAGGCUUGGUCCAGUUUCAUUUUUCACUUCUUCACAAUGUAUUGUGGUAUUCAUACCGCAGCCUUGAAACUCACACUUGUUACCACUCUAAUUGUCUGUAGCCAUAACGCAGACAACAACAACAACCACCAAAAAAAAGUCAGAGUUGACCUUUGAUAACCCUGCAUCGAUUCAGAUCUGUCUGUGCGCCUGCCUUUCUCUGUUGUAAUUUUGGUGUUUGUCAGACCUUUUCUGCUUAAGUCCAGCGGAGGAACUAAUCACCAUAAUGAGUCAGAGACAGGCGUGAAAGAAAGAUUCACAGAGAAAAGUGACUCUUUUUCCAUAUUUCCAAGAUUCACUGUGACGUGUUCAUGAACAAGUGACAUUUAAAGACAGGAAGAGAACAUUAUCACAUCUGUUCCUGGUAUUGUUGUGCUUGAUAGGAGCCAUGAAUUUUGUAUCUAUAUACAGAAAGGUAUGCUUAGGCAGCUAUAAAAUACAUAUACUAUAUAAAGUAUAAAUAUAAAGUCUUGACUCCUGGUGGUUAACAUUUUUUUUAAUUUAUGAUGUUUGGGAUUUGCAUCAUCAGUUUCAUACUUUGAUGUUUGUUGAGUUGUUUAUACUAUAUGGACGCUAUACUUCAGGCUGCUUCACACUGUGGAAACAAAUUACCUUCUGUUUAUCUGUAUUGUUCAUAAUGGACGUGCCUUAAAUUCCUUAAUGUGGGAAAAUAAUUUCUGGCCAUUAAAUAGCCAUUAAAUAUUUAAUUUUGACCAGUGCCGAUUCUUCCUGCAAUAUAUAUAUAAUUUUAAGCCACUGGAUGUUCUGAAAACAAGUUCUGGAAAGUUGCUGAAGUGCUUAGAUUUAACGUCUAAUGUUUUUUGGGAACGUGCUUCAAGAAAAUAAUGGAGAAUCAAAGACGUCUGCCUGGGUAAGUUUGAUGUAGUUAGUAAAACUAACUACAGCAUUAUACAUUCUGUAUAAUGCUGUAGUUAGUUUUAUAUGUGCAGUAUUUUUGGUGCUAUUCUGUAAAAUGAGUAUCAGUCACAGAAAGUCUUAACCGAAAGUAUGAAGUAUGUGUGACUUCCUUUUUAAGACACUUCACCAUCAAUGUUUACCUUCUUUUUUCAGUAUAGUUUACUGACUUCUGACAGUAGCACUGUUGUUUGGACUGUUCUGUUAUUAUGGGAUAUUGGAAACUGUGGUUAGCUCUUCUUCUUCCCCUGUCCUUGUUUUUGGAUUCUGAAGGUACGGUACAGCAACAUUUCAUCAAACGCAGUUAAUGCGGGUCAAGUCAGUUUUGCAGUCUGGUAAAAUUACAAGUAGCCAGUACUUCUUUUCUUAGUUUUCUUGAAGUAGGCUUUUGUGGUUUAGUCAAAAAAUAAAGCAAAGCAAACAACCAAGUACCUCAGUGAUUUAUAUUAUUUCCCCUGAUUGCAGAAGCUGCUGUGAAAACCAUUGGGAGAGAACAAGAUGUCACUCAAGUAUGCACCACCGCUACACUCCAUAUCAUCACGUUGAUAGUGUGUAAGAUCAGCACAAAGAGGAGCAGGGGAGAAGAGUGCUAUCUGCUGUAUCAACAUGGACAUGACUUUGAGCACAAAUGUGACUCCAGGUUCACGCUUAUGGCGGAGAAUCAGACAGUGUUCCUCCACCUGACCAGGUUAACACCAGAGGAUAGUGGGAACUACACCUGUGAGUGUUCACAUUUUUAUGGAACAGACGCUCUUUAUCUCAGUAUCACUGUGGAAGGAGAUGAAGAGGCCAGCACUUCUCAUGUGACAAUGCUCAGUUUUACCACUGUCAUUAGCAGAGUUACUGGAUUUAUCAUUGUAACUGGCGUUGUCCUUGGACUCAUCCUGAGAAAAAAUCAUUGCAGAGACCACACAAGGUCAGGACCACCUGGGUUAUCUGUAUGUGAAACCCGCUGCUCUUUGGACAAAGAUCACCCAGAUAACACCUACACAAGCCUUGAGCAGCCACCAAGUGAUCUCUACCAGACCUUAGUGCACCAAUGACAAUUGAGCAACUGCCCCAUUCUGAACAGGAAAUAGACGGAAGAGGCAAAACUGUGAAAUCUAUAGAAAAUAUCUAAAACAAGAGUCAAGACAACUGUACAGUUGGUCUCAGCCAAAACACUGACCAAACAAAGAAAGAAGAUUUACUAAGAAACAGUUUCUCUUUGCUCUUUUACUCAGAAUGUUUUUCUUUAUUAAAUCAUUGCAGGAGUCACAAAUAUCAAGAAACGCCAUGAAGUGUUAAACAUGCUGUAUCAUAUCUUUUUUUUUUUUUUUUUACAGUACAUCAUUACUCCUGCUUAGACAACACAAAAUGAGUUUUUGUCUUGUCAUUAUUUCACUACUGUACAUGUCAUGUUGUUUGAAAAUUCUUGAAUGUUUGUGGAUUAAACAGGCACAGUUUUCUACAAUGAAUGAAUGACUGAAUUAGUAAGCCUUUGAGCUCUCAGGCUUUGUUAGUGUUCAUCAAGUUCUAGCGUGAGGUAAGUAGGUGUAGGAAUAUAGGACUAUUUUAGCCUUCGCGAUUAACACGAUGCUUCCCAGCUGUUGUUGCGUGUUAACUUGAAAGUAAAAGCCUUUUAGAACACUUCACAUCAGCUUAUACUGCACCUAAAAAGGUGAGAGCUUUGAGGUUUUAAUGUAGGCGGUAAAAGAACAUUUCAGAGAGCUGUGUUGGUCGUCUUUUCAGAUCAGUGAUCUGCACUCUGCUUUCAACAGUUACACUUCUGUUCAGAUCAAUUGGCCAGUAGCGGGUAUGUGUGUUGAGAACAGAGGUACUGUACAAAACUUUACUCCACACUACAACUUUACAUUAUGUAACAUUUAUUCUGGUUAUAUUUGAUAGGAAGAGAAAGUCUGUACUCUGUAUUCAAAGAUGAAUGCAACUCAAGGUUCACAUUGCUAAACAAGAAUCUUAUUAUAUUUAACCAAAAGAGUUUCACACCAAUGGACAGUGGGAAAAACUGAUCAGAGAGGUUGAAAUGACGUGUUUCAAGAUAUUUUCUGUGUGACAAAGUUCAGCAGAUGGAGAAUAGAGCACUUUUACUGGCAUGAAGUUCAUUGCUACACUUGUCAUCACUAUUUCUGUAUUUGUUAUGACACCUGAGAUAAUCUGUGUGAAUCAUGUCCUUAGGAAAGAAAAUAAAUCAUCGCAGGUGAAAGAUUUUUACUAAAUGCUUUAAAUUUGUAAAAUAAUACUUCAUGUUUCUACAGUGUGUUGUAAAGUUGUGAUGAAAUGCUGUACUGCGACAGUACAGUGUUCAAAUACUCUCUUUACAAAUGAAAAUAUGGCUCAAUUUUAACGAGUAGCAUUUGUUUUCUGUUGUGUUUAAAUCAGAUGCCAGUUUUGAAAUAGCUGCCACUUGUUUUUGAUUUCUUUAAAACAGUGAAAAUACUCUUGGUCUUUCAUUUGUUCUGCAAAUAGCUAAGGAGACUGCAAUUCCCUCUGUAACAGUUUGAGGGAUGCCCUGACUAACUCUGACAUUCAUUUAGCUCACAGAGAAAACACAAGAUCAGGAUCAUGUGGAUUAACCAGAUCAGAAACACCCUGGCUUUUGAGACCUCAAAGCCAACCACGUGUCCACAGGGUCAAAUGUGCCUGAAUGGAGCGAUUUCCCCAAACAAGACUGUGGAGGUUGUCAUGAAGUCCUUCAGAUGAAGUUAUAAAUGAAUAGGACCUCACACUGACUCGCUGUGAGAGCAGAGAGUUUGAGGUUUAGGAAGCUGAAGAACAGUGCAAAGGGGUGUGUCUGUCCUCGAGCCGACAGUGAACUGCAAAAGACACAACAGCAACUUGUGAAAAUCACUGGGAAAGAACCAUAUGAGACUCCAGUAUGCACCAAUGAUACACACAAUAGCAUCGUAAUUAUAGUGUGUGCGAUCAGAACAGAGAGACACUGGACAGACAACUGUCAACUACUGUAUAGAUUUGACCAAGGCUUUGAGAACAAAUGUGACUCCAGGUUCAAACUUAUGUCAGAGAAUCAGACUGGAGUCCUUCAUCUGACCAGAUUAACAUCAGAAGACAGUGGGAACUACACCUGUCAGUGUUCACAUGCUUUGGGAACACACGUACAGUCUUUCAACAUAACUGUGGAAGGAGAUGAAAACGACGAAGGUUCUGCAGAAAUAUCUUUCCCCUUUGUUGAAAUUAUAACUGCUGUAACUGUAUUCAUCAUUAUAACUGGUGCCAUCCUGGGAUUUACUUACAGAAAAAAUCACCACAAAAGACAAAUAGAACCCAUGACCAGAGAUCCAAACAUGGAACCAGGAGACGUUGAGCCGUACAGCACCUUCAUACAGAGAGAGAAUGGCCUUUAUUCAGUUGCCACAGUCCACUGGAAGACAUAAACCUCUAAAACUAAUAAUUCUGAUGUGUUUGCCUGAAAUUCUUUUGUACAGAUUUAAUUAUACAAUAUCUACUUCCAUGUGAUGCAUGUUUUCCUAUUGAAUAAUAAGUGAAACAGGGCCUCCUGUCUAUAAGGUAACCAUUUUGCUUUGCCAGAUAUUUCACUUAUUCAUUUACUGUCGGUUUUAAAAUGUUAAAUUUACAAAUGGAAAUUUAAUGUUUUAAAAGGCAUGAGAACGUCAUAGUGUAUAAAAAUAUGAUGAAGAGAACACAUUAAUUAUCUAAUAAA